rnacentral:lncRNA from 1 species
GAAAAGUGGACAUGAGACCAAAAAAUUAUUAUUUUUGGCUGUCCGCAUCAAAUAAGUAAAAACUUGAGUUUCUGGAAUUCCAAAUGAUUGUCUGGAUGCUGUUCAGUUGUGCUAACUAGACCAGAUUUUUGGGGUCAGUCUCAUUUGGCUUUGUUCAGCUACACAUGGCUUCAGUAUAAAACAGGGCCAAAAUGAAAGAAUACGCUUCCUUAGUCCACAUUUUUUACUUGGUGAAAAAAUGAAGAGCUUCACCCUCAGGGUUACAAUGACAACUUUCUCCACUUUUCUCAGAAGUAGUUGAAAAGUAUCUUGUCAGCAUCAUUGCCUGCUUUAACAGGUGCUGGGAGGGGGACAAGCAACCACAGGUGUAGGGCAUAGAAAAGUCAUCUGAAAAAAUGUCCUUAAAAAGUCCAAGUUUCUCGUCUGUUGUGUCUGUCCUUUGUAGACAAAUCAGUGUGCUAUGAACUGACAACCCAACUGAUAUGCCUCUGGCCUAAACCAACAUCACCAGCCCAAGCUCCUUUCUCUUACAACCUCUCAUACACUUCCAUCCCCUUGAUUCCAGUGCUUCUCAAGCAUUAAUGAGUGUAUGAAUCACCUGAACCUUGUUAAGAGGUAGAUUUUUCAUUCAAUAGGAUUGUGCUGGAGGGCCGCAUUUCUUACCCAUUGGUAGGAGAAGCCAGUGGCUACCGGUCUGCAGAUCACACUUUUGAGUGGUAAGGCUCUAUUUCUUUUAUAAUUGAUAGUUGAGAGGAUGAAGGUAGAUUUUGGAGGAAGAGAAGAGACAAUUGAUUUCUUUCUCCUUUUCCCACACGCUUCACAGUGAAACAAUUGCUUCAUUUCUUUGCCAACCACAAGAAACAAUUUUCAACUGGGACACUGAAGCAGACUCGAAAGUAUUUUGUUUUUCUAUUUUUCUUUUUGGAUGGAAAGUAGGCAAAGGAAGGAGUUACCAUUGUCAUUGAACGUGGUCUUGAAUACCUUAAAGAGGGGCUGCUGCAAC